GUCACGAUCAGUGUGAGGUUGAAAUCUAUAUGGUAUCUAUAGACGCGCUGGUUCGAGUCCAGCUCGUGACA
rnacentral:tRNA from 2 species